AUACGUAGGUGACAAGCGUUAUCCGGAUUUACUGGGCGUAAAGGGCGUGUAGGCGGUCUUGCAAGUCAGAAGUGAAAUUCCUGAGCUCAACUCGGGCGCUGCUUCUGAAACUGCAGGACUUGAGUGCUGGAGGGGAUAGCGGAAUUCCUAGUGGAGCGGUAAAAUGCGCAGAUAUUAGGAAGAACACCGGUGGCGAAGGCGGCUAGCUGGACAGUAACUGACGCUGAGGCGCGAAAGCGUGGGGAGCAAACAGGAUUAGAUACCCUGGUAGUCCACGCUGUAAACGAUGAAUACUAGGUGUAGGGGGUAUCGACUCCCUCUGUGCCGCAGUUAACACAAUAAGUAUUCCGCCUGGGGAGUACAGCCGCAAGGUUGAAACUCAAAUGAAUUGACGGGG
rnacentral:rRNA from 1 species